rnacentral:misc_RNA from 1 species
UCCGCCAAGAUCACCAAUCCAGGCUCUUGCAAGCGAGCUUCAAGCUGCACGCGAGUCGGAUUGUCAUACCGCACAGUGACUGACUCGGCGGUGCUGGGCGCCGUUCCAGGCAAGUAAGCGGCCAGUUGCUCAGAAUGGUCCGUUUCGACAUAGGCAGCCGUCUUGAGGUUGGCGGUUGCGCGACGACCGGGGUAAAGGGAUGAGUCGUCAGUUUGCAUCAGGCGCGACCACAGCACGUCCCGAGCCGCGCUGUCUUGAGACUUUCCGCUGGGAAGAAACCGCGCGGCAUGAACGAUCCAGGCGCGUGGAAAAGCGG